rnacentral:rRNA from 1 species
UACGUAGGGUCCGAGCGUUGUCCGGAAUUAUUGGGCGUAAAGGGCUCGUAGGCGGUUCGUCACGUCGGGAGUGAAAACGUCGGGGCUUAACCCCGAGCCUGCUUCCGAUACGGGCAGACUAGAGGUAGGCAGGGGAGAGCGGAACUCCUGGUGUAGCGGUGGAAUGCGCAGAUAUCAGGAAGAACACCGGUGGCGAAGGCGGCUCUCUGGGCCUUACCUGACGCUGAGGAGCGAAAGCGUGGGGAGCGAACAGG